rnacentral:rRNA from 1 species
UACGUAGGUGGCAAGCGUUGUCCGGAAUUAUUGGGCGUAAAGUGCGUGUAGGCGGCCAGGUAGGUCUGCUGUGAAAACUCGAGGCUCAACCUCGAGACGUCGGCGGAAACCAUCUGGCUAGAGUCCGGAAGAGGAGAGUGGAAUUCCUGGUGUAGCGGUGAAAUGCGCAGAUAUCAGGAAGAACACCCGUGGCGAAGGCGGCUCUCUGGGACGGUACUGACGCUGAGACGCGAAAGCGUGGGGAGCGAACAGG